GAAAGGCAUUUUCGGGAGGGUACUCGAGUGGCGAACGGGGUAAGUAACACGUGGGUGAUCUGCCCUGCACUCUGGGAUAAGCCUGGGAAACCGGGUCUAAUACCGGAUAGGACCGCACUUUAGUGUGUGUGGUGGAAAGUUUUUUCGGUGUAGGAUGAGCCCGCGGCCUAUCAGCUUGUUGGUGGGGUAAUGGCCUACCAAGGCGGCGACGGGUAGCCGGACUGAGAGGUUGGUCGGCCACAUUGGGACUGAGAUACGGCCCAGACUCCUACGGGAGGCAGCAGUGGGGAAUAUUGCACAAUGGGCGCAAGCCUGAUGCAGCGACGCCGCGUGGGGGAUGACGGCCUUCGGGUUGUAAACUCCUUUCGCCAGGGACGAAGCGUUUUGUGACGGUACCUGGAGAAGAAGCACCGGCUAACUACGUGCCAGCAGCCGCGGUAAUACGUAGGGUGCAAGCGUUGUCCGGAAUUACUGGGCGUAAAGAGCUCGUAGGUGGUUUGUCACGUCGUCUGUGAAAUUCCACAGCUUAACUGUGGGCGUGCAGGCGAUACGGGCUGACUUGAGUACUGUAGGGGUAACUGGAAUUCCUGGUGUAGCGGUGAAAUGCGCAGAUAUCAGGAGGAACACCGAUGGCGAAGGCAGGUUACUGGGCAGUUACUGACGCUGAGGAGCGAAAGCAUGGGUAGCAAACAGGAUUAGAUACCCUGGUAGUCC
rnacentral:rRNA from 1 species